GUAUCGAGAAGUACAGCAGAGUACUCGGCUACGAACCGAGCGGUCGGAGGUUCGAAUCCUCCCGGAUGCACCA
rnacentral:tRNA from 1 species